rnacentral:rRNA from 1 species
UAACGANUUAGAGAGUUGAUGCUGGUUAGUCUGACUACAUGUGCUCGCUCUCCUAAUCCCACUUACACCUGUGCACUUUAACUUUGGAGGGAGGGUAAAACCUGCCUUCGAAAUUCACAAACUCUCGUUUUUAAAUUAUGAAUGUUUAUCUGCCGCAAGGCAAAAUUUAAUACAACUUUUAACAACGGAUCUCUUGGCUCUCGCAUCGAUGAAGAACGCAGCGAAAUGCGAUAAGUAAUGUGAAUUGCAGAAUUCAGUGAAUCAUCGAAUCUUUGAACGCACCUUGCGCUCCCUGGUAUUCCGGGGAGCACGCCUGUUCGAGUGUCAUGAAACUCUCAAACAAAGUAGAUUUGUUUCUACCUCUGUUUGGAUUUGGACUCUGCUGCGUCAAUGCGGCUGGUCUUAAAUAUAUUAGCUGAUCCUAGCGAAGGUUUGGUUCUACUCAGCAUGAUAAUUAUCUGAUGUUGAGGACAGUCUUAGGACUGGCCAGGCUCUCUAUGGAUUGCUUUCUAAUCGUCUUUGGACAAUCAUUCAAUAUCUGACCUCGAAUCAGGUGGGACUACCCGCUGAACUUAAGCAUAUCAAUAAAGCGGGAAGGAAAAGAAACUAACAAGGAUUCCCCUAGUAACGGCGAGUGNAAGCGGGAUGAGCUCAAAUUUAAAAUCUUGGUAGUCUUUUGGCUGCCCGAGUUUGUAAUCUAGAGAAGCGUUUUUCUGUGCUGGG